GAUGAACGCUAGCUACAGGCUUAACACAUGCAAGUCGAGGGGUAACAAGAGAAAAGCUUGCUUUUCUUGUUGACGACCGGCGCGCGGGUGAGUAACGCGUAUCCAACCUGCCCCCAACUAGGGAAUAACCUUGCGAAAGUAAGACUAAUACCCUAUAAUUUCCUCAGAUGUCAUCUGACGAGGAAUAAAGAUUUAUCGGUUGUGGAUGGGGAUGCGUCUGAUUAGCUUGUUGGCGGGGUAACGGCCCACCAAGGCAACGAUCAGUAGGGGUUCUGAGAGGAAGGUCCACCACAUUGGAACUGAGACACGGUCCAAACUCCUACGGGAGGCAGCAGUGAGGAAUAUUGGUCAAUGGGCGGAAGCCUGAACCAGCCAAGUAGCGUGCAGGAUGACGGCCCUAUGGGUUGUAAACUGCUUUUAUACAGGAAUAAAGUUAGCCACGUGUGGUUAUUUGUAGGUACUGUAUGAAUAAGGACCGGCUAAUUCCGUGCCAGCAGCCGCAGUAA
rnacentral:rRNA from 1 species